UGGAAGGGCCAUCGCUCAACGGAUAAAAGGUACUCUAGGGAUAACAGGCUGAUAGCGCCCAAGCGUCCACAGCGACGGCGCUGUUUGGCACCUCGAUGUCGGCUCAUCUCAUCCUGGGGCUGUAGCAGGUCCCAAGGGUAUGGCUGUUCGCCAUUUAAAGAGGUACGUGAGCUGGGUUCAGAACGUCGUGAGACAGUUCGGUCCCUAUCUGCCGUGGGUGUUGGAAUCUUGAGAAGAGCUGCCCUUAGUACGAGAGGACCGGGGUGGACGAACCUCUAGUGUACCAGUUGUUCCGCCAGGAGCACCGCUGGGUAGCUACGUUCGGACGGGAUAACCGCUGAAAGCAUCUAAGCGGGAAGCCUCCUUCAAAACUAGGAUUCCCUAUCAGAGCCGUGGAAGACCACCACGUUGAUAGGCUGGAUGUGGAAGUGUGGUAACACAUGAAGCUAACCAGUACUAAUUGCUCGAUCGGCUUGAAUUUAUUUUA
rnacentral:rRNA from 1 species